UACGAACGCUGGCGGCGUGCCUAAUACAUGCAAGUCGAACGCUUUUUCUUUCACCGGAGCUUGCUCCACCGAAAGAAAAAGAGUGGCGAACGGGUGAGUAACACGUGGGUAACCUGCCCAUCAGAAGGGGAUAACACUUGGAAACAGGUGCUAAUACCGUAUAACACUACUUUCCGCAUGGAAGAAAGUUGAAAGGCGCUUUUGCGUCACUGAUGGAUGGACCCGCGGUGCAUUAGCUAGUUGGUGAGGUAACGGCUCACCAAGGCAACGAUGCAUAGCAGACCGGAGAGGGUGAUCAGCCACACUGGGACUGAGACACGGCCCAGACUCCUACGGGAGGCAGCAGUAGGGAAUCGUCGGCAAUGGACGAAAGUCUGACCGAGCAACGCCGCGUGAGUGAAGAAGGUUUUCGGAUCAUAAAACUCUGUUGUUAGAGAAGAACAAGGAUGAGAGUAGAACGUUCAUCCCUUGACGGUAUCUAACCAGAAAGCCACGGCUAACUACGUGCCAGCAGCCGCAGUAA
rnacentral:rRNA from 1 species